UACGUAGGGGGCUAGCGUUGUCCGGAAUCAUUGGGCGUAAAGCGCGUGUAGGCGGUCCGGUAAGUCCGCUGUGAAAGUCGGGGGCUCAACCCUCGGAUGCCGGUGGAUACUGUCGGGCUUGAGUACGGAAGAGGCGAGUGGAAUUCCUGGUGUAGCGGUGAAAUGCGCAGAUAUCAGGAGGAACACCAAUGGCGAAGGCAGAUCUCUGGGCCGUAACUGACGCUGAGGAGCGAAAGCGUGGGGAGCGAACAGG
rnacentral:rRNA from 1 species